rnacentral:lncRNA from 1 species
GCCAGGCAGGGACACGCCUCUGUGGACACUGGGAGGUUCUGGGACCUUAGCUCCAGACAGGCCGGUUACUUUGUAACCCCCCACUGUGUCCUGCAGCUGAUCCUUCAGGAGAGAAGGGCUAGAGACUGGUGUUCAGGGUCAGUGAGCACAUAAACAGAUGUCCUGGGAGUCAUUUGGGAGAGAAAAAGAGGACAUCCCAGGUUUUUGUGCCCACAGGAAAGACAAUAUCACUCUCACCACAUGAUUGAAAGAGCCAAGUAUGAGAAGAUAAAUGAGGAGACGCUUGGAGAAGUACAGGGGCACCACCAACACUUAAGCCUCCAUCUUCAGGCAAGAAAGUCUGUGAUAUGAAUGAAGGGAUCAUAAAAGGCACAUGGAAUCAAAGCUUUUGGUCAACUGCCAACAAGGUACAGAGGCCCAACAGCAAUCAUCGAAUGAACUUGGAAGUGGAUCCUCUCACCCCAGUUGAGCCUUCUGAUGACUGCAGCCCUGGCUGAUGCUUGACUACAACUUCAUCAGAAAUCCUCAUGAAGAUCCAGCACCUUCCAGUUAGCCCAUCUAUGAGAAAACCAAUGCUCCGAUGAGUGCAGUGACUUCCCAUGCCUGUGGAGAGUCUAUGCCUUUGAUUGGAUCCCCAGAGGUGGUUUUCACUUGCCCCCCAUUGCCUAUACCAUGUUGCCUUCCUGGAGUUGGUGGCCUUUGAGCUGGGCCUGGAAGAUUGGGUAGGACUUUAUGAAGUGGGGAUGGAGAGACAAGCUGUGCGAUGGGGAUGAAGAAGAUAACCCAGGUCAGAGGGAACAGCAUAAGCAAAGGUAUGUGAAGGGGAAAGAAUUCAACACCUCCAGGCAAUGGUGAGGAUGUCGCUGAGUUCUCUUUCACUUAUCUGCAUGUCAGUCAUGACCCCUGGAUGCCAGCUCCUGAUGGGUCAUCUGCCUACCCUAGAACUUCCCAGCAUCUAGCAUCCCAGACCUUCCCAGAGUCUACAAGAAAAGAAACCUAGGCAUCAGGAUGUCAGUUCUGGUCUGAGUCCUGUCCUCUGCUGACUUUACACCAGCACAAUCUAGCAGGGAGACUUAAUGUCUUCUCCUCCCAGCUUCCUGGUACAGUGUAAGAAAGUAAGCUUGCAGAUGCAAAUGCUUGUGGCUCUUCAUUGACCAGAGGCUAUAUUAGGGGAGAGGACUUCCCUGGGACCCCCACAGGGCCUGGAAAACCCCUCUGGCCCUGACUUGCUCCACCCCUUGGCUCUUGACCCAUUUCUCUCUUGGGUAACUCCUGAGUCUCCUCACCAUGUCCAGUUUGGAAGACUUUAGGCACAAGGACCUCGUCUUUUCCUUCAGAUCUUGGCUCAACCAAGAGGCGGACUCACCGUGAUGUGAAUGCAGCUUGAGCAUCCAGGACUCUCCCCAGAUCCAGGGAGGGCCUCAGCGAUGUGUUCACGUUGUCAUAUUUUUAUAAAAUUUGCAAAGGUAAGAUACUUUAACCACAAUCAAAAUUACUAUUUUCUUCCCACUCCAACUUCCCUUGUGUUUCAAUUUUCCUUUAUGUGGGAUAAUUGGAGUGGCCAUGGGCACUUCUGGGAUCUGACCAAGGGGAAGCUGAGUGGGGGACUGAUUUGAGUUGGGUUCACUGGGAUAUGUUUAUGUGGUUUUCUGAAACAGAGGAUAUAUUAAUAUUUAUGUGGUUCUCUGUGUAUAGAUAAAUCAUUGCUAGUAAUCUCUGUGUAGAGAAUAGCUUCUAGGAAUUCUACCCACUGCCCAGCUCACUUGGCAUGGUGAUAUUAAGUUGCCAUAUGCAGAGGUCAUAUCGUGAUAUGAAUGUGUGUCAUGGCACCCAGCCCAGGAAGUAUAUGGGCAGUAGACAAGAAACAGGAGAAACCAGGUUUGAAAUGUACAGAGCCAGAAGCUAGUCUGUGGAAAAUUCUUCUAAUCAUCAGGGGGAGAAAAUGUGUCUCAGAGGUUAAGCAGGGCAGUUAAUAAAAGUAUUACGCAUUUUGGGGGGAUUGUGUGAUGUAUCUGUUUUGAUUUCUUUUCUCAUUAUAGGUAAAUAUAGGUACCUUGUACCUAAUUUUAUAUUCAUAAUUUUGUAUAUUUUUCUUAAAGAGGGCUCCUCAAAUUAUAAAACCUUCAGUUCCCACAAGGUCUACACAUCCAACCUUGGCUCCAUCAUUUAUUUUCUGUGUGAUCUUGGGGAAGUCACUUGUGCUUUCUGAGCCAGUUUCCUCUUCUAUAAAAUGUGAAUGACAAUUUGGACAGGUGAGGAUUCAGAAAUCCUCAUGACCUUAUUCCAUUUUUGAAACCAUUAGUAGACGAAGACACUCAAACAAAAAUUAGACCAGAAUAUAAAGAUUGGAAAAGAUGUAAUAUACAAGCAAUAAUGGUGAGCAAUGAAUCCAGUAAAACCUAAAUCUAAGUUAAUGGAAAUGAUGUGGUUGUUGCAAACCUCUAAUGCAGUUUAUGAAGAAAGAAUUUUUGUAAUAGAAGAGACAUUAUGCAAGAACAAAUUUAAUAAUAAGCUGUAUCUAUAAUUCCAGACUUUUUUUCCCUGCAAAACCUGGGAAACAAGAGGGAUGAAGGAAUAUAAACAUCCUAAAAGCCUCAUAUUGUUGAAGGAGACUUUGAAAUUCUUGGCGUUGAUAGAUACAUGCUCAGAUAUUUAUUAAACAUUUACAGAUACCAACCAGCAAAAUAAAAAGGGAAUUGGAACUUCUGUACCUCCCUUUUCUUUUAUCAUGUGGGAAAGUCUCAAAGCCCUGGCACUGGGAGCUGCUCAGAAGGCAAGGGCCACAUGUGCCCCCAGCUUCCCCCCACCCCCAGCACAGGGCCAGGAAGCCACUGCUGGUGGCUCCCUGUCUGCUGCCUCCCGAGCAGUAGGUCCCAGCGAGGUGGGGUGGUAAUAGGUUGGGCUGGGAGCAGAUUAGCAAACCCUCUCCUCCCCGCAAGGAAAUAACCAGGCCAGAUAAGACUAGCCAUAAAACAAAACAAGGGCUGAUGUAGAAAAGGAUUGGAUCAUAAGACACGAGCAAG